rnacentral:rRNA from 1 species
AUUGAACGCUGGCGGCAGGCCUAACACAUGCAAGUCGAGCGGAGCGGCGGACGGGUGAGUAAUGCCUAGGAAUCUGCCUGGUAGUGGGGGAUAACGUCCGGAAACGGGCGCUAAUACCGCAUACUAUCAGAUGAGCCUAGUUCAGAUUAGCUAGGUGGGGGGGUAAAGGCCUACCAAGGAGACGAUCCGUAACUGGUCUGAGAGGAUGAUCAGUCAUACUGGAACUGAGACACGGUCCAGACGCCGACGGGAGGCAGCAGUGGGGAAUAUUGGGCAAUGGGCGAAAGACUGAUCCAUCCAUGCAGCGUGUGUGAAGAAGGUCUUCGGAGUGUAAAGCCCUUUAAGUUGGGAGGCGUUACCUACAGAAUAAGCACCGGCGAACUUCGUGCCAGCAGUCGCGGUAAUAC